rnacentral:rRNA from 1 species
GAUGAACGCUGGCGGUAUGCUUAACACAUGCAAGUCGAACGGUCUUUUCGGAGAUAGUGGCGGACGGGUGAGUAACGCGUAAGAAUCUACCUUCAGGCUCGGGACAACCACUGGAAACGGUGGCUAAUACCGGAUGUGCCGAGAGGUGAAAGGCUUGCUGCCUGAAGGAGGAGUCUUGCGUCUGUAUUAGCUUAGUUGGUGACGGUAAAGGCGCACCGAAGGCGACGAUCAGUAGCGUGGUCUGAGGAGGAUGAUCAGCCACACGUGGGACGUGGGAC